ACUUGGCGACAUGGCGGGGAGCUGGGAAGACGGACACCGGAACGUGAGGAACACGAGUAGUUCAAGAAAAUGCUGAAGAUGCGCUUGGCUGGGAAGCUAGGAUAGGCUGACGAAGUCAGACUUAGUGUGGGAACCUGGCUGGGAAAGGGUUUCUUCUGUCCAUAAAAGCUACUCCAAUGGCUGUGGGAGACUUAAUUCCAAUUCCAGGUGAUACAGCCGUCAGUCUCCCACUAGCUGUAGGAUGGUGUGCUGCAGUUCACAGGGCAAAGGAGAUAGAAGUGGAUGAAAUGACAGAGUAUUUUUUUAAUUGAACUCUGAUUAAUGCCAAAAGUGUUCAAUCACUAUGUGUGGGGAAGUUUCCUGGUACAAAGGAAAAAAAAACAGGUUGUUCAUACACUUGGCUGUGUUAACCUAAGUCAAUGUUAGUCUACCACUGUACGUCUGGUAACCUCAAUCCCUGCAACCGGAGCAAAAUGUGAUUCCAGGUCUUGGCAACCUCUGAAAUUCCAACUCCAUUUGCGAGAGCUUUGAGGAGGCCAUAUGCUGAUUUCACCACAAGCAACU
rnacentral:lncRNA from 1 species